rnacentral:RNase_P_RNA from 1 species
UGACCGGAACGGACAGCCGCGUGAUCCUGCCGAAAGGCAGUUUUAUGAGGAAAGUCCGGGCUCCACAGGGCAAGGAUAACGGGUAACGCCCGCCGAAGGCGACUUCAGGAAAAGUGCAACAGAGAUAUACCGCCUCGCAUUUGCGAGGUAAGGGUGGAAAGGCGAGGUAAGAGCUCACCCAUCACACGGGAACGUCGUGAUGCUGUAAACUCUAUCCGGAGCAACACCGUGGAGGAGACACAGGUUUGCCCGACCGUCUCCGGGGAGGUGGCUUGAGCGUAUCGGCAACGGUGCGCCGAGAUAGAUGGCUGUCGAUUACAGAACCCGGCUUAUAGUUCCGAUCAUACA